CUGGAUUUAUAAUCAUAGAUAAAUUUUACAGUUUUACUUUUAUAUUAUUUGUGCCACAAUGUUCAUAUUUCAGAAGUGCAAUUACAGGCGGUGCUUGAUCUGAUAAGCUGAUUAAUUUGGAUUGAAUCAAUCUAUAAAAUGUGUUGGGCUGGUUUUUUAUGCAUUGUAAUCUUAAUGAAUUUUAUAGGGUUCAUAUUUCGAUUUCUUAAAAAUAUUAAUUGAAUAAUAAAAUUUCAAAAGAAACAUAGUCUGUUUUAUAGAAUUUGUUUGGAGAUUUAGAAAGUGAUGCAGGGACGCCUUUGAUCAUGCUCAACAAGCUGCUAGAGUGUUCAAGAACAGAAGCAGCCUGCGGCCUACCCUAUUGGAAGCACCGUCCGUUCCUCAACCCAACUCCGAGUGGAUGAGUGUCAUUGACUCGAGGGCCUGCUGGAACAUUGGAAAUAUGGGCAGAGGGUGAAAAUGUUGGGUGACAACUGGUUCCUGGGUCAGGCUGAGUUUGAAGUGUGGAGUCAUGCCUCAACCCUAGUGAUUCGGUUGAUCGAAGAUGACGCAAACAAUGGAAAUUGUGAGUUAUUCUUCAUCUAUUUUAAUGCUGAUUAAGAAACAAAAGAUAGAGUUCUUAGAUGAUGAGAUUCCUCACAUGAUCACACUAUCGUCACCUCAUCAUACUUCCUCACCACCGCAGAAAACACGCUUACGGUUAAUGGAUGAAAUUAUUUAGCUUGGUGAGAUGCGAUUAGAAUUGUUUCGUCUUAUUAACAACACUCAAGAAGCCAUGGAUGCUGAAAGAAAGAGGAAAAUCGCAAUCUUGAUGUCAUUAAGAUAGUAACUAACAACUUUUUAUUCAUUUCAAUUGAUUCUGUUAGGUAUGUUGUUUUAUUUCCCCAAUGUUAUUUUGAAUCCAUCCAUCUGUUACUAUUGUUGUGUCAUGAUGAGUAGGAUGAAACUCCUUCAGGUAAAGUAACUAGAAAUAGAAUGGCAUUUAGUAUGUGUGGUUAACUAUGACUUCCUAACUGUAUCUUGUUCUUUUUCCUUUUUCACAGACUUGUUAGGUAAAGUAACUAGAAAUAGAAUGGCAUUUAGUAUGUGUGGUUAACUAUGACUUCCUAACUGUAUCUUGUUCUUUUUCCUUUUUCACAGACUUGUUGGUCACUGUCAGUUUUACUUGAUUGUCAGAGUCUUUGCAGGCAGGUACCACAACCUUGGUAUGCUCACAUCAUGAAUAUAUCAAAAUCAGUCUUAAAGUCAUUACAGGUACCACACCUUUGGUGUGUCAUGCUAUGCUCAUGAGUAUGAUGAAACAGAAAGGAAAUGCAUCAUCUUAAAAGCAUGGUAGGAAGUUUACCUUUGAUUUGAGCUGUUGGCCAUGCUUAACAGUCCGGUCUUCAACCGAGCUGAGUGAAUGAGAUUCAUUGACAUGGGGGGCCUUCUGAAACAUAUGGACCCAACAUAUUAUUCAAAUAAAUUUAUUUGAGAGUAAUAUAUAAGACAAUUAUUGCCCUUUUGUAAUUUGUACAAGUAAAGUGUAAACUUUGAAUUUUGUUUGAAAUCGUGAUUUCCGUUUUUGAUUUGGUUUUCACAAAAUAGAUAAUGCAUUCAUAGAAAGUAAGUUACUUUAACUUGUUGGUAUCUUCCAAAGGUAACUAGAAAUAGGAUGUUUGGUUCAGAAGGAUUUUCUAACUGUAUCUUGUUCUUUUUCCUCUUUCAAAAGACUUCCCAUAAAGGUCAAUGCCACACUUUUAUGCUUAUAAUAGCAUCAUGCAUUUUUAUAAUUCCGUCUUUUUGUUUAUUCUAAAAUGUUACUCUUUUUAUUUUCCAAAAUUAUUUUGAAGUGAUAACUAACUUGUUCGUUCGAGUCUUUGUAGGAAGCUAUGUACGCUCUUGUCAUGAAUAGAUCAAAAUGAGUCUUGAGGUCAUUAGAGGGAGAGUCAGUAGUUGAGGUUACAAAUGAAGGUGUUGAUACUGCGGGGCAUACAAUUGGUACAUCUUUGGAGGUCAUGUUCAAGCUUAGGAAGGUUCUCAACCCCAAGAGUGUGAUCAAACCAACAUCACUAGCUAUAGAUUAUUUUGAAUCCAUAACUAACUUGAUCGUCCGAUACUUUGUAGGUACCACACCUUUGCUAUGAUCAUGUCAGUCUUGAGGUCCUUAGAGGUAAUGUUCUUAUGUUUGUCUCUUUUAAUUUGGUUUGAUUUGUUUGUGCUCAACAAAUUAUUCAGGUUCAUUCGUUGAUUUCAUUUAUUAAUAUGUACAAGUUUUAUAAAAACGUGAAGCCUUUUCUUGACUUGAACAUUUUUUCAGAUAUUAUUCAAGUUUUUUCUGAACUAUGCAAUGAUUAAAUGAACUUGUUCUUUGUCUACUUUCAAUAUUGCUUCCAUAUUAAAUUUGGCUGCCUUACUUCACUUGUUCAGUUUAUUUUUUCUGAAUUUAUAGUAACUUGUGACUUGUUCCAUGAGAUAUAGAAAGUGAUGCAGGGAACCUUUGAUUUGGAAGAAUAAUUCGGUAUGCAC